AGGAGGUAAAAAUGUUCAAA
rnacentral:misc_RNA from 1 species